ACCGUGAAACGUGCCGCCUGGGAAGUACGGUUACAAGAAUAAACUUAAAAGAAUUGGCGGGGGGAGCACCACAACAAGUGGAGCCUGCGGUUUAAUCGGACUCAACGCCGGGAAGCUCACCGGAUAAGACAGCUGAAUGAUAGCCGGGUUGAAGACUCUGCUUGACUAGCUGAGAGGAGGUGCAUGGCCGUCGUCAGUUCGUACUGUGAAGCAUCCUGUUAAGUCAGGCAACGAGCGAGACCCACGCCAACAGUUGCCAGCAUGUCCUCCAGGAUGGUGGGGACACUGUUGGGACCGCCUCUGCUAAAGAGGAGGAAGGAAUGGGCAACGGUAGGUCAGCAUGCCCCGAAUUAUCCGGGCUACACGCGGGCUACAAUGGUCAGGACAAUGGGUAUCAACACCGAAAGGUGAAGGCAAUCUCCUAAACCUGUCCUUAGUUCGGAUUGUGGGCUGCAACUCGCCCACAUGAAGCUGGAAUCUGUAGUAAUCGCGUCUCAAAAUGGCGCGGUGAAUAUGUCCCUGCUCCUUGCACACACCGCCCGUCAAACCACCCGAGUGAGGUCUUGAUGAGGCUGCGGUAGUCGCCGUGGUCGAAUCUGG
rnacentral:rRNA from 1 species